AUAGGCUCUUCGUCUCCGCUUGCGUCACCGUCCUCACAUCUUGCUUACCGGAAACGAUGCGUUUAAUGUGUGGUAAGCAAACAUCAAAUUUGUACCAGUAAAGAUGUUUUAGAUGACAAUGAGAGCCACAGUCAGGUGACUAGUGUAAGGUGUAAAAGAGAUAGAGUAGACCUUUUCUUUUAAGGAACCCCACAAAAGAUACAACAAUCAUCUCCAUGUGGUGUUGGAGCUUCUUGGUGUUACCUUGUUGUUACCUCAACUUCACUCGAUGCAGUGCCAUGUAGGCUAUGAGUCGAUAACCAACCAACAUC